rnacentral:rRNA from 1 species
GGAUAAAGCUACUAAGCGUACACGGGGGAUGCCUUGGCACCAACUGCCGAAGAAGGGCGUGGCAAGACUGCGAUAAGCCUCGGUUAGUCGUCUAGCUGACUUAACCGGGGAUUCCCGAAUGGGGUAACCCAAUUCACUAAAUGUGGAUUAUCUUUGAACUAACCCUUAAUUCAAAGAAGGUAAGCAGGGGAACUGAAACAUCUAAGUACCCUGAGGAAGAGAAAUCAAAAGAGAUUCCCGUAGUAGUGGCGAACGAAAUGGGAAUAGCCUAAACCAUAGAGGCUUCACGGCUUUGGGGCCCAUGUCUUUAUGGGGUUGCAAGAAGUAUGUGUUGAGGCCCAUAACUCAACGAGGAGUAAGAAAACCAUUUUCUAUUCGAAUGUUCCUGGAACGGACAGCCAGAGAAGGUGAGAGCCCGGUAGAUUAAAGGAAAUGGUCUCCUUAUUACUUUCUUAAGUAGAGCGGGACACGUGAAAUCUUGCUUGAAUCUGGGGGGACCAUCCUCCAAGGCUAAAUACAGUUGGUGACCGAUAGUGAACUAGUACCGUGAGGGAAAGGUGAAAAGUACCCCGAGAGGGGAG